rnacentral:rRNA from 1 species
AGUCGAGGAUCUUCGGCAAUGGGGGCAACCCUGACCGAGCGAUGCCGCGUGGGCGACGAAGGCCUUCGGGUUGUAAAGCCCUGUCGAGGGGGAGAAAGCCGCAAGGCGGAUCCAUCCCUGGAGGAAGCUCGGGCUAAGUUCGUGCCAGCAGCCGCGGUAAGACGAACCGAGCGAACGUUGUUCGGAAUCACUGGGCUUAAAGGGCGCGUAGGCGGGCUGCCGCGUCCGGGGUGAAAUCCCACGGCUCAACCGUGGAACGGCCCCGGGUACGGGCGGCCUCGAGGGGGGUAGGGGCGUGCGGAACUGUGGGUGGAGCGGUGAAAUGCGUUGAGAUCCACAGGAACUCCGGUGGCGAAGGCGGCACGCUGGACCCUCUCUGACGCUGAGGCGCGAAAGCCAGGGGAGCGAA